UAAAAAGGAACAUAUAUAUUAUAUUUUUAUAUUUUUUUAUAUCUUUUUCUUUUUCUUCUCCUCCACUCCCCUCGAACCAUUGGAUAUGGGUCCUCGGAUCCCCCAACUUUGAACAGAACAAAACACGAGCACCGCCGGUCCGCGAAUUCACUUUUUUCCUCAUCUGUUUGAGUGGAUUCUUCCUUUGGGAGGUGUCGAGUGAGGAAAAGGAAAAAAAAAGC
rnacentral:ribozyme from 1 species